GGGCAACUCUAGUAAUACCCUUGAUAGUCUUGCUCCAUUAGACCAGAGUCAUUCCGUAACCGACCCUCAGCCUCCAGCUCUAAUAUUAGGCCCAAGAACCCUCUCCAGAAUCCGUAACAUGGCUUGGGACAGUGCGUCGUCCCAACCUAACGAUCAUGAGACCCAAAUCCUGUCUCAGUCACCGGUGAAAUAAGCAUCUCACUAGUAUCCAGAUUAGGUAGGUUGCAUAACAAUGAGGACCCAGCUCGAGGCCCUCUACGGC
rnacentral:lncRNA from 1 species